UACGGAGGGAGCUAGCGUUGUUCGGAAUUACUGGGCGUAAAGCGCACGUAGGCGGCUUUGUAAGUUAGAGGUGAAAGCCUGGAGCUACAACUCCAGAAUUGCCUUUAAGACUGCAUCGCUUGAAUCCAGGAGAGGUGAGUGGAAUUCCGAGUGUAGAGGUGAAAUUCGUAGAUAUUCGGAAGAACACCAGUGGCGAAGGCGGCUCACUGGACUGGUAUUGACGCUGAGGUGCGAAAGCGUGGGGAGCAA
rnacentral:rRNA from 1 species